GCGUCGGUGGUGCGACGGUUAGUAUACGCUCCUGGAAAGAGUGAAGUCUGGAUUCGAAUCCCAGCUGACGCA